GGCGGACGGGUGAGUAAUACUUAGGAAUCUGCCCAUUAGUGGGGGACAACUCGAGGGAACUCGAGCUAAUACCGCAUACGCCCUACGGGGGAAAGCGGAGGACCUUUCGGGGCUUCGCGCUAAUGGAUGAGCCUAAGUCGGAUUAGCUUGUUGGUGAGGUAAAGGCUCACCAAGGCGACGAUCCGUAGCUGGUCUGAGAGGACGAUCAGCCACACUGGGACUGAGACACGGCCCAG
rnacentral:rRNA from 1 species